AGUUUAUGAACUUGUUAUAAGUAUAUAUUUUGAAAAUAUAAAAAAGAAAAUAAAUUUUCUAUAAACUU
rnacentral:tRNA from 2 species